UACUGACGCUGAGCUCGAAGUGUGGGUAGCAAACAGGAUUAGAUACCUGGUAGUCCACACCGUAAACGAUGAAUGCUAGUUGUUAGAGGGUUUCCCCCUUUAGUGACGCAGCUAACGCAUUAAGCAUUCCGCUGGGGAGUACGACCGCAAGGUUGAAACUCAAAGGAAUUGACGGGGGCCCGCACAAGCGGUGGAGCAUGUGGUUUAAUUCGAAGCAACGCGAAGAACCUUACCAGGUCUUGACAUCUUUCGCUAUCUUAAGAGAUUAAGAGUUCCCUUCGGGGACGGAAUGACAGGUGGUGCAUGGUUGUCGUCAGCUCGUGUCGUGAGAUGUUGGGUUAAGUCCCGCAACGAGCGCAACCCUUAUCAUUAGUUGCCAGCAUUAAGUUGGGCACUCUAAUGAGACUGCCGGUGAUAAACCGGAGGAAGGUGGGGAUGACGUCAAAUCAUCAUGCCCCUUAUGACCUGGGCUACACACGUGCUACAAUGGAUGGUACAACGAGUUGCGAACCCGCGAGGGCAAGCUAAUCUCUUAAAGCCAUUCUCAGUUCGGAUUGUAGUCUGCAACUCGACUACAUGAAGUCGGAAUCGCUAGUAAUCGCGGAUCAGCACGCCGCGGUGAAUACGUUCCCGGGCCUUGUACACACCGCCCGUCACACCAUGAGAGUUUGUAACACCCAAAGUCGGUGGGGUAACCUUCGGGAGCCAGCCGCCUAAGGUGGGAUAGAUGAUUAGGGUGAAGUCGUAACAAGGUAACCA
rnacentral:rRNA from 1 species